CCUACGGGAGGCAGCAGUGAGGAAUAUUGGUCAAUGGGCGGGAGCCUGAACCAGCCAAGUCGCGUGAAGGAUGACUGCCCUACGGGUUGUAAACUUCUUUUAUCAAGGAAUAAAGUGAGGCACGUGAGCCUUUUUGGAUGUACUUUAUGAAUAAGGCUUGGCUAAACCCGUGCCAGCAGCCGCGGUAAUACGGAGGGUCCGAGCGUUAUCCGGAUUUAUUGGGUUUAAAGGGAGCGUAGAUGGGUUGUUAAGUCAGUUGUGAAAGUUUGCGGCUCAACCGUAGAAUUGCAAUGGAUACUGGCAGUCUUGAGUACGGUUGAGGUAGGCGGAAUUCGUGGUGUAGCGGUGAAAUGCUUAGAUAUCACGAAGAACUCCGAUUGCGAAGGCAGCUUACUAAACUGCCACUGACAUUGAUGCUCGAAGGUGUGGGUAUCAAACAGGAUUAGAUACCCUGGUAGUC
rnacentral:rRNA from 1 species